rnacentral:rRNA from 1 species
CGGAGUGGACACACCUGUUCCCAUCCCGAACACAGAAGUUAAGCACUUCAGCGGCGACAAUAGCUGGGCUUGCCUCAGUCAAGAUAGCACUUCGCCGGUC